CGCACAUUGCGCCCCCUGGUAUUCCGGGGGGCAUGCCUGUUCGAGCGUCAUUUCAACCCUCAAGCCUGGCUUGGUGAUGGGGCACUGCUUCGAGAGGAGCAGGCCCUGAAAUUCAGUGGCGAGCUCGCCAGGACCCCGAGCGUAGUAGUUAUAUCUCGCUCUGGAAGGCCCUGGCGGUGCCCUGCCGUUAAACCCCCAACUUCUGAAAAUUUGACCUCGGAUCAGGUAGGAAUACCCGCUGAACUUAA
rnacentral:misc_RNA from 1 species